ensembl:lncRNA
GAAGCAGCAAGCAGUGUUGUUGCCCAGCUUUGCAGGUCCCUUACCUUCCCAGUUGAACAUGUAGCCAUGUGGCAGGUCCCUUCUAGCACCACAGCCUCCAUGUGGAUCCCAGUAACAGAAGUUCCAGACAGACUGCGGUUGGCAGUCCUCAGUGCCCACCUGUUUCUGCACCCUGCAUAGAAGAAAGCCAAGCCCUGGAACAGAGCCAGGUCCUGGAGUAUCUAGCUGGUGACCCACGAAGCACUGACAUGUUCCAGGCAGUGUGGCUGCUCUCUCAAUUCUAAGUGGGGAACAAACGUGGCCUACCUGCAGAGAUGCUCAAUGUGGUCUGCACUUCUCCAGCAAAAACCUCAUUCUUUCCUGGUUUUCUUUAUAUUUUAAACGAAUGAGGAGUUUGAUGUGGAGAUGAGGAACAGAAAGAAUGGGGCAGAAGGAUGAGGGCCUUUUCAAAUAGUAAAGCUUACUAAAAUGAGCUCUGUAAUAAGAAUUUUGCAAGGGAUGUAAGAAACGGAAGGUACACCGUGGGUUGUAUGCUUUCACUGGAGCAGUCUGAAGCUUUUCUGAAGAUGUUAAAAAUACCAAGUUACUGAUUCUGUGGCAGUACCUGUAGUGCCUAUAGCACUGCUCAGGUCUCAGUCCUUCAUUGCAUUGUGAAGGCACGUGAAACUCAACCGAAAAGGAGGACAACCUUUAUUUGCACACAGUGUUUUGAGCCCCACACCGGGGUACGGUGGGGCUGUGGCCCUGGGGCACCCAGUGUUUGCUCCCCUGGCUCUCCCUUGGGAUGCCAUUUUCUUAUAGGCUGCUUUGAAGUGCUGUGUGUGCCUUCACACCUUGUCACUUUUAACAAUGGAGCCUUGGGUGAACCGGCGCUGCUGUGCGGAGUGCAAAAGGCGGGAUGCGCUGUCCUUGUGCUGCUUUGCACCCUUUUCCCGCCCUUGUCUCCCAUCUC